CUUGAUGGAGCCCAGCCACAGCGGCAGGCCCUCGGGGCGGUCCUGCCCGUAGGCGGCGAUGACGGCCUGGGCCUC
rnacentral:antisense_RNA from 3 species